rnacentral:rRNA from 1 species
UACGUAGGGUGCAAGCGUUGUCCGGAAUUAUUGGGCGUAAAGAGCUCGUAGGCGGUCUGUCGCGUCUGCUGUGAAAACUCGGGGCUUAACCCCGGGCCUGCAGUGGGUACGGGCAGACUAGAGUGCGGUAGGGGAGACUGGAAUUCCUGGUGUAGCGGUGAAAUGCGCAGAUAUCAGGAGGAACACCGGUGGCGAAGGCGGUGGUCUGGGCCGGCACUGACGCUGAGGAGCGAAAGCGUGGGGAGCGAACAGG